rnacentral:rRNA from 1 species
ACUCCUACGGGAGGCAGCAGUGAGGAAUAUUGGACAAUGGGCGGGAGCCUGAUCCAGCCAUGCCGCGUGCAGGAAGACUGCCCUAUGGGUUGUAAACUGCUUUUUACGGGAAGAAACACCCCCACGUGUGGGGCUUGACGGUACCGUACGAAUAAGGACCGGCUAACUCCGUGCCAGCAGCCGCGGUAAUACGGAGGGUCCGAGCGUUAUCCGGAAUCAUUGGGUUUAAAGGGUCCGUAGGCGGGCGUCUAAGUCAGUGGUGAAAUCCCGCAGCUCAACUGUGGAAUUGCCAUUGAUACUGGUCGCCUUGAAUUAGUGUGAAGUGGCUAGAAUAUGUAGUGUAGCGGUGAAAUGCUUAGAUAUUACAUAGAAUACCGAUUGCGAAGGCAGGUCACUAACACUAUAUUGACGCUGAUGGACGAAAGCGUGGGGAGCGAACAGGAUUAGAUACCCUGGUAGGCUCUG